UUAAACUCAUUAGCGGUCUCCCUCGUUAGAUCUGACUGUUGACGUGAUAAUUAUCUGCGUCGUGGUUGGUGAAGGCCGAGUCUCCAAGGACUUGGGUUUAGAGGUUGAGGCUGCUUAUCAACCGUCCUUCACAGGACAGAGGUUUACCUCUCUUUUGACAAUUUGACCUCAAAUCAGGUAGGACUACCCGCUGAACUUAA
rnacentral:misc_RNA from 1 species